UGCGGUCAAGUGAGCUAAGGGCGCACGGUGGAUACCUAGGCACACAGAGGCGAGGAAGGGCGUGCUACCGACGAAACGCUGCGGGGAGCUGGAAGGAAGCGGUGAUCCGCAGGUACCCGAAUGGGGCAACCCGGCAAGGCGAGAGCCUUGUCACCCUUAGCUGAAUCCAUAGGCUAAGGGGGCGAACGCGGCGAACUGAAACAUCUUAGUAGCCGCAGGAAGAGAAAACAACCGUGAUUUCCUCAGUAGCGGCGAGCGAACGGGAAAGAGCCUAAACCGCUUAGCUACGGCUAGGCGGGGUUGUGGGACGGCCAGAAGGUAGCCGGAAGGCUAGGCGAAGCAGCUGGAAUGCUGCACCAGAGAAGGUGAAAGUCCUGUAGCCGAAAGCUGGAAGGCGCCGGCCGGAUCCCGAGUAGCACGGGGCAGGUGAAAUCCCGUGUGAAUCGGCGAGAACCAUCUCGCAAGGCUAAAUACUCCUGUGUGACCGAUAGUGAACCAGUACCGUGAGGGAAAGGUGAAAAGAACCCCGGGAGGGGAGUGAAAGAGAGCAUGAAACCGUGUGCCUACAAGCAGUGGGAGCCCGAUUGAACGGGUGACCGCGUGCCUGUUGAAGAAUGAGCCAGCGAGUUACAGCGUGGGGCAGGUUAAGGCGGGAAUGCCGGAGCCAAAGGGAAACCGAGUCUGAAUAGGGCGUUGGUCGCACGCUGUAGACCCGAACCUGGGUGAUCUAACCAUGGCCAGGCUGAAGCUUGGGUAAAGCCAAGUGGAGGGCCGAACCGGUUGAUGUUGAAAAAUCAUCGGAUGAGCUGUGGUUAGGGGUGAAAUGCCAAUCGAACCCAGAGCUAGCUGGUUCUCCCCGAAAUGCGUUGAGGCGCAGCGUCGACAGGUACCUGGUGGGGUAGAGCUCUGAAUCGAUGCGGGCGGCGAGAGCUGUACCAAAUCGAACCAAACUGCGAAUACGCCAGGGUUAGUCGGCAGUGAGACGGUGGGGGAUAAGCUCCAUCGUCGAGAGGGGAACAGCCCAGACCACCAACUAAGGCCCCCAAGACAUCGCUCAGUGGUUAAGGAGGUGGGGGUGCGAAGACAACCAGGAGGUUGGCUUAGAAGCAGCCACCCUUUAAACAGUGCGUAACAGCUGACUGGUCAAGCGCCCUUGCGCCGAAAAUGAACGGGACUAAGCGAUGCGCCGAAGUUGUGGAUGUGAAUGGUAGGGGAGCGUUCCGCACUAGGGUGAAGCGGUAGCGUGAGCAGCCGUGGACGAGGCGGAAGUGAGAAUGUUGGCUUGAGUAGCGCAAACAUUGGUGAGAAUCCAAUGCCCCGAAAACCCAAGGGUUCCCCCGGAAGGUUCGUCCGCGGGGGGUUAGUCGGGACCUAAGGCGAGGCCGACAGGCGUAGUCGAUGGAGACAGGGUUGAUAAUCCCUGACUGGCAACUGGAGCUGAGGAGGGACGCACGAGAGCUAGCCACACCCUGAAUGGAUUGGGAGGGGUCUACGGACUCCGCGUGGUGAAGGGUAGUGCCAAGAAAAGCUCGUAGGCGAUGAAGGUUGUCACCCGUACCCGAAACCGACACAGGUGGGUGGGUAGAGGAUACCGAGGGGCGCGAGAUAACCCUCUCUAAGGAACUCGGCAAAAUGACCCCGUAACUUCGGGAGAAGGGGUGCCAGCGCGAGCUGGCCGCAGUGAAAGGGCCCAGGCAACUGUUUACCAAAAACACAGGUCUCUGCUAAGUCGCAAGACGACGUAUAGGGGCUGACGCCUGCCCAGUGCCGGAAGGUUAAGGAAGUCGGUUAGCGCAAGCGAAGCUGGCGACCGAAGCCCCGGUGAACGGCGGCCGUAACUAUAACGGUCCUAAGGUAGCGAAAUUCCUUGUCGGGUAAGUUCCGACCCGCACGAAAGGCGUAAUGAUCUGGGCGCUGUCUCGGAGAGGGACUCGGCGAAAUAGACUUGUCUGUGAAGAUGCGGACUACCUGCACCUGGACAGAAAGACCCUAUGAAGCUUUACUGUAGCCUGGAAUUGGGUUCGGGCCUUGCUUGCGCAGGAUAGGUGGGAGACUGGGAAGUACCCCUUGCGGGGGGUAUGGAGUCGCCGGUGAGAUACCACUCUGGCAGGGCUAGAAUUCUAACUUUCCGCCCGGAAGCGGGGGAAAAGACAGUUUCAGGUGGGCAGUUUGACUGGGGCGGUCGCCUCCUAAAAGGUAACGGAGGCGCGCAAAGGUUCCCUCAGACUGGUUGGAAAUCAGUCGUAGAGUGCAAAGGCAUAAGGGAGCUUGACUGCAAGACCUACAAGUCGAGCAGGGACGAAAGUCGGCCUUAGUGAUCCGACGGCGCUGAGUGGAAGGGCCGUCGCUCAACGGAUAAAAGUUACUCUAGGGAUAACAGGCUGAUCUCCCCCAAGAGUUCACAUCGACGGGGAGGUUUGGCACCUCGAUGUCGGCUCAUCGCAACCUGGGGCGGAAGUACGUCCCAAGGGUUGGGCUGUUCGCCCAUUAAAGCGGUACGUGAGCUGGGUUCAGAACGUCGUGAGACAGUUCGGUCCAUAUCCGGUGCAGGCGCGAGAGGAUUGAGAGGAGCUCUCCCUAGUACGAGAGGACCGGGAGGGACGUACCGCUGGUGUACCAGUUAUCGUGCCAACGGUAGACGCUGGGUAGCCAUGUGCGGAGUGGAUAACCGCUGAAAGCAUCUAAGUGGGAAGCCCACCUCAAGAUGAGUCCUCUGUUAAGGUCCCGGGAAGACGACCCGGUAAUAGGCUCUAGGUGGAAGUGCAGCAAUGCAUGCAGCCGAGGAGUCCUAAUAGACCGUCUGCUUGACCCAA
rnacentral:rRNA from 1 species